rnacentral:rRNA from 1 species
GACGGGGGAUGCGAGCGUUAUCCGGAAUGAUUGGGCGUAAAGGGUCCGCAGGUGGCCCGGUCAGUCCGCUGUCAAAGCCUGGGGCUCAACCCUGGAGAGGCGGCGGAGACCACCGGGCUUGAGUCCGGUAGGGACAGAGGGAAUUCCCGGUGGAGCGGUGAAAUGCGUAGAGAUCGGGAAGAACGCCAAGGGCGAAGGCACUCUGCUAGGCCUGAUUUCGCGACUGACACUCAGGGACGAGAGCCAGGGGAGCGAAUGGG